rnacentral:rRNA from 1 species
UACGUAGGGGGCAAGCGUUGUCCGGAUUUAUUGGGCGUAAAGAGCUCGUAGGCGGUUUGUCGCGUCUGCUGUGAAAUCCCGAGGCUCAACCUCGGGCCUGCAGUGGGUACGGGCAGACUGGAGUGCGGUAGGGGAGAAUGGAAUUCCUGGUGUAGCGGUGGAAUGCGCAGAUAUCAGGAGGAACACCGAUGGCGAAGGCAGUUCUCUGGGCCGUAACUGACGCUGAGGGGCGAAAGCGUGGGGAGCGAACAGG